rnacentral:rRNA from 1 species
AGCCGGCCACACAAGUCCAUCGGGAAAUCCGCCAGCCCAACUGGCGGGCGUCCGGUGGAAACUGUGUGGCUUGGGAUCGGAAGACCCAACGGGUACGUCUUGGGUAGGAGUGAAAUCCUGUAAUCCUAGACGGACCACCGAUAGCGAAAGCACGUUGGGAAGACGAAUCCGACGGUGAGGGACGAAAGCCAGGGUCUCGAACCGGAUUAGAUACCCGGGUAGUCCUGGCCGUAAACGAUGUCUGCUAGGUGUGGCUCCCACUACGAGUAGGUGCUGUGCCGUAGGGAAGCCGCUAAGCAGACCGCCUGGGAAGUACGUCCGCAAGGAUGAAACUUAAAGGAAUUGGCGGGGGAGCACUACAACCGGAGGAGCCUGCGGUUUAAUUGGACUCAACGCCGGACAUCUCACCAGCAUCGACAACAGUAAUGACGGUCAGGUUGAUGACCUUUCCAGAGUUGUUGAGAGGAGGUGCAUGGCCGCCGUCAGCUCGUACCGUGAGGCGUCCUGUUAAGUCAGGCAACGAGCGAGACCCGCACUCCUAAUUGCCAGCACCGGCUUCGGCCGGGUGGGUACAUUAGGAGGACUGCCGUGGCUAACACGGAGGAAGGAACGGGCAACGGUAGGUCAGUAUGCCCCGAAUGUGCUGGGCUACACGCGGGCUACAAUGGCCAAGACAAUGGGUUCCCACCUCGAAAGAGGGCGGUAAUCUCCUAAACUUGGUCGUAGUUCGGAUUGAGGGCUGAAACCCGCCCUCAUGAAGCUGGAU